GUAAACCAACUUGUGCUUGCGCAUAUGAAUUGUGAGACCAGCGGCACCAUAUUCAAAAUGGGCAGCAUGUAAAACAUUACAUCUAGUGGGCAUGACGGUCAGAGCCCAACGCAGCGUGAGACCGCACGGUUCCAAGCUUGUCAGACUACAUAAGGGAGUAUCGCAGCGCCUAUAGGACAUCACAAAUGCUCCCCCAUCAGCUAACAGACCUGUCCACCAUAUUGUAUUGUAUUAUUAAGGUCCACAGUCCAACAUAAAAAAAGAUACCGUAGAAGAGGCCGUCAACAUCAUCGGAGCAGUAGAAUCGAGGCAAAAGAAAACCAUCACCAGAACAGCAUCCAAGAGGACUUAGAGAGACUAGUGAUAAAAUUUUGAGGAAGUACGCCACGCGGUGCACGCUGUUUCAGUGUGGAGUCUCCAUAUUUACAUUACCUACCUGAAGGGUAUCAAAAAUGUUGUCCACGUCUGUAGAAAAGCAGGAUCCACACCUUGAAGAUCACACUGGAACUUUUUGAUGAUCCAACCAUAGUUGAGAGUGAAGGGUUUAAACUCUCUUAGGAGACCCUUCUGCCCAUCUAUCCAUCUGGUCUUUUUUUUUUUUUUAUACUUUAUUUUCAAUUUCAAAAGGUAACAGGAUAGCCUCCAGAAGGAGACAAAAUAAAAAAACAAAACAUAACAAUCAAACAAAAACAGAAGUAUUAUCCGACCCAAUAUCACAU